rnacentral:sRNA from 1 species
UGUGGGAGCGAGCCUGCUCGCGAUAGCGUUGUGUCAGUCGAUAAGAAUUUGUGCUGAUCGACGCUAUCGCGAGCAGGCUCGCUCUCACA